rnacentral:RNase_P_RNA from 1 species
AAAGUAGACAAAAUGGUCGCUGGUCCCUAAUUUUGGGGGCAAGAGGAAAGUCCGAGCUCCAGAGGGCAGGAUGCUCCGUAACCCGGAGUCCCGGUGACGGGAAGGAAAGUGCCACAGAAAAUAGACCGCCUUUUGGUUGGAUUUGUUUUUCCAAUCAAAAAUAGAGGUAAGGGUGAAACGGUGAGGUAAAAGC